AUGCCACACAGCUCGCAGCCUCAGGCUGCUGAGAGCCAAGGCCACCGACAAGACGCCAGCUAUGGCCACUCACCCAUCAUGCACAGACGAGGACAAGGACAAGCAGCCACAUUGUCCCAUGUUUGCCACAGAGGAGGUGAGGUCAAAAGAGAGCAAGCAGAACUCCUGCAUGGUGUGGCGGAGAACACACUAAGGCCAGAACUCCUGUGUGGUGUGGCGGAGAACACGCUAAGGCCAGAACUCCUGUGUGGUGUGGCGGAGAACACACUAAGGCCAGAACUCCUGCGUGGUGUGGCGGAGAACACGCUAAGGCCAGAACUCCUGCGUGGUGUGGCGGAGAACACGCUAAGGCCAGAACUCCUGUGUGAUGUGGCGGAGAACACGCUAAGGCCAGAACUCCUGCGUGGUGUGGCGGAGAACACGCUAAGGCCAGAACUCCUGUGUGAUGUGGCGGAGAACACGCUAAGGCCAGAACUCCUGUGUGGUGCGGCGGAGAACACACUAAGGCCAGAACUCCUGUGUGGUGCGGCGGAGAACACGCUAAGGCCACAACUCCUGUGUGGUGCGGCGGAGAACACGCUAAGGCCACAACUCCUGUGUGGUGCGGCGGAGAACACGCCAAGCCCCUCCCUGCACAUAUUCCAUAUUCUGCCAUCUGAUUCUCACAGUGCCUCUGCCUGUGUAUCUCUGAGGUCCAGAGUCGCUUCUCACUCGCCAAGCACUGGCAUUUGCCUAUCAGCUUCCCAUUGCUGCUGUGAAAAAAGUAAGUACUGCGGACUCCACGGUGGAACCACAGCAAUUUGUUUUCCUAACAGAUCUGGAGGUUGGAACUGGAAACGAGUCUUAGGAGGCUCGAAGCAAAGUGCUGGCAGGCCCGGCUCCGUGUCCAGCUCUGAAGGCGCCGUGUCUCCUGCUCAGGGCCCGGUCCUCGUUCUCGAAGCCAGCCACACAGCCACCUUAUCACGGGGCCUUCGUGCCUUGGACUCCUCCUUCCUCCCUAAGAGUCCCUGUGACUGCAUCAAGCCCACUAGGCCAAUGCGGGACACUGUCCCCGUCCCAAGAUCCCUAACUCAACCCCAUCUGCAAGCCGCCCUUACCAAGUGGCGAGGUAACAGAUUCUGGGAUGACAAGGACCCCUCUGGAGGCCAUCGGUCUGCCUGCCACAGCCUCUGGGUAGGACGUCUGCCGAGGCCUGCGGCCGAAUCCUGCACCUCCACCUUGCAACACUUUCCUCUGAGCGGCAGACGACGGGUGCUAGGCUGUCCGCUGCCUCCCUUCCUGCCGCAGGUGAACAGGCUUCCCUGCCCCACUAGUGUGGAGCUGCGCUCUGGGGUUUGCUUUGCUCAGCGGGAGGUGGCAGAAGUGGCAUAA
rnacentral:lncRNA from 1 species